GUGACGAAAAAUAAAAAUGUAAAACUGUAUUAUAAUAAUAGUAGGUAUUAUACUUAGAAAGUAUAAUGGAUGGAAGUUAUUUGCUUAGUGUUAUAUCUAAUAACCUAGUUAGGUCAUUCUAAAAAUUAAAUAAAUUCCCUUUAAUAAGUGAUUUUUUUCAUUUACUAGCACCAGUAAAGUUUUUAUUUCUAGCAGAUUUGGACUUGAAAUAUAAAGAUGUGUGCCCAUGCAAGGCUUAAUUGUGUACCAACCAAGAAACCAAAUGUCUUGGCAUGCUAGCCACUAAAUUAAAUAUUUUGUAAAAUACAGUUUGAUA